rnacentral:piRNA from 1 species
UUCAUCAUUAUUAUUUGAAGCCCUGUGACAU